rnacentral:rRNA from 1 species
GACGAACGCUGGCGGCGUGCCUAAUACAUGCAAGUCGAACGCAGUGGGGACGGGUGAGUAACACGUGGGUAACCUCCCAUCAGAGGGGAUAACACUUGGCAACAGGUGCUAAACCGAUACUGAUGGAUGGACCCGCGGUGCAUUAGCCAGUUGGUGGGGUAAAGGCUCACCAAGGCCACGAUGCAUAGACGAGCUGAGAGGAUGAUCUGCCACACUGGGACUGAGACACGGCCCAGACUCCUACGGGAGGCAGCAGUGGGGAAUCUUCGGCAAUGGACGAAAGUCUGACCGAGCAACGCCGCGUGAGUGAAGAAGGGUUUCGGAUCGUAAAACUCUGUUGGUAGAGAAGCGGUAUCUAACCAGAAAGCCACGGCUAACUACGUGCCAGCAGCCGCGGUAAUAC